CUAACGACAUAGCCGAAGCGUUCCGCGAAUUCUAUCAUAUUCUUUAUAAUCUCCCACCUCCAGAGGGAACUCCCCUCAACAUCCAAGAAUACCUGACUACCAACCUCCCCUCCAAGAUCACAGAUGAAGCCGCACAUGCCAUGUGCCAUUCUCCCAUGCAGAGUUCGCCUUAGCUAUUAAAACAAUGCCAAAACGCAAGAGCCCUGGCCCAGACAGGCUA